rnacentral:rRNA from 1 species
GUGGGGAAUCUUAGACAAUGGGCGCAAGCCUGAUCCAGCCAUGCCGCGUGAGUGAUGAAGGCCCUAGGGUUGUAAAGCUCUUUCACCGGUGAAGAUAAUGACGGUAACCGGAGAAGAAGCCCCGGCUAACUUCGUGCCAGCAGCCGCGGUAAUACGAAGGGGGCUAGCGUUGUUCGGAAUUACUGGGCGUAAAGCGCACGUAGGCGGACAUUUAAGUCAGGGGUGAAAUCCCAGAGCUCAAAUCUGGAACUGCCUUUGAUACUGGGUGUCUUGAGUAUGGAAGAGGUAAGUGGAAUUCCGAGUGUAGAGGUGAAAUUCGUAGAUAUUCGGAGGAACACCAGUGGCGAAGGCGGCUUACUGGUCCAUUACUGACGCUGAGGUGCGAAAGCGUGGGGAGCAAACAGGAUUAGAUACCCGGGUAGUCC